AAAAAAAAAAAUGUAAUAGAAAUUUUUACCUUAUAACAGAGCUAAACGACACAUGUUAAAAAUGUUUUUUUUUUCCUAUAUCAAAUUGACCAUUUUAAUUCGGGUAUUCGGGAACCGGGCUCCAUUGAAAAAUGUUCAAUACUCUUUUUAGCCUUAUUUUUCGUAAUUAUCCGAGAUAUUGAUAGUUAAUGAUAUUAUUGUUUUUUUUAUUUUUUUAUUUUUUUAAGAAUAAACUUGACAAGUCAUGGGUAUAUUAGUAUUUAUACAUGGCACAAAAAUACUGUCGAGAGACAAUGCUAAAGUGAACAUCGGGCGAUAAUAAGCGGAAAAAAGCGGAGUUUAUAUGAUUAUUCCGCUAAGCAUACUUGUUUAUUUUGACCAAG